UACGUAGGGGGCGAGCGUUGUCCGAAUUUACUGGGCGUAAAGCGCGCGUAGGCGGUUUCUUAAGUCUGGGGUGAAAGGUUCAACGCUCAACGUGAACAGUGCCUUGGAUACUGGGAGACUUGAGUCUGGGAGGGGGUAGUGGAAUUCCUGGUGUAGCGGUGAAAUGCGUAGAUAUCAGGAGGAACACCAAUAGCGAAGGCAGCUCGCUGGGACGGUACUGACGCUAAGGCGCGAAAGCGUGGGGAGCGAACAGG
rnacentral:rRNA from 1 species